rnacentral:rRNA from 1 species
UACGGGGGGGGCAAGCGUUGUUCGGAAUUACUGGGCGUAAAGGGUUUGUAGGUGGCUUGCUAAGUCGGACGUGAAAUCCCUCAGCUUAACUGGGGAACUGCGUCUGAGACUGGCAAGCUUGAGUGCAGGAGAGGAACGCGGAAUUCCAGGUGUAGCGGUGAAAUGCGUAGAUAUCUGGAGGAACACCGGUGGCGAAGGCGGCGUUCUGGACUGUAACUGACACUGAGGAACGAAAGCCAGGGGAGCAAACGGG